AGCAGCCGCGGUAAUUCCAGCUCCAAUAGCGUAUAUUAAAGUUGUUGCAGUUAAAAAGCUCGUAGUUGAAUUUCGGGAUCAAUCUGUUGGUCGUGCCUUUGGUACGUACUAGCUUAUUGAUUUCUCCCUUCUGACGAACCAUGAUGUCAUUAAUUUGGUGUCAUGGGGAAUCAGGACUGUUACUUUGAAAAAUUAGAGUGUUUAAAGCAGGCUCACGCUUGAAUACAUUAGCAUGGAAUAAUGAAAUAGGACGUUUUGAUUCUAUUUUGUUGGUUUCUAGGAUCGACGUAAUGAUUAAUAGGGAUAGUUGGGGGCAUUAGUAUUCAAUUGUCAGAGGUGAAAUUCUUGGAUUUAUUGAAGACUAACUACUGCGAAAGCAUUUGCCAAGGAUGUUUUCAUUAAUCAAGAACGAAAGUUAGGGGAUCGAAGACGAUCAGAUACCGUCGUAGUCUUAACCAUAAACUAUGCCGACUAGGGAUCGGAUGAUGUUAAUUUUUAAUGACUCAUUCGU
rnacentral:rRNA from 1 species